AGGCAACCGGUCCUUGGCGGGCGAGACCGGUCCCCGAGCGCGCCUUCGCAGAAAGAGACCGGUUCCGCGCAGGGAGAGACCGGUUCCCGAACGUUGGUUUUUCGGGUUCGCAGCGAGAGACCGGUCCCUGCUGGGGAGAGACCGGUCCCUCUGGGCGAAAAAUGCCGAGACCGGGCUGAUGCAAUAUUGGGUUUUUGAGGGGCCUCUUGGGAUUUUGUUACUCUAGAUGGCUUAUAGGGCCACACCCCCCUCUUCCCUUCUCAUUUCUCUCCUC
rnacentral:lncRNA from 1 species